rnacentral:lncRNA from 1 species
CCUUUGGUAGACUACUCUGACCUCCCAUAUAUUGGAAAAUGAUUAUGCUUCCCGUAUACUACUCUGACCUCCCAUCUAUCGUCCGACCGUAGCUCUCCGACAAUUUGAAAACCACAGUUUCUUUUUUUGCUACCGGUCCUUCUCGGGCGCGCGUUUGGGUUAGUUGAUGGACAUUCUCGUUUCUCCCCGUAUAGGUCACAAGUCAGAAAAAUCUUUUUUUAAGAACAACUUU